AAUAUGCAAACUAGGAGGAUGGAACUUCCAGAAAUUCUCACAGAGAAAAUAUAAGGUGACAGAAGCAUACAUCCGAACACCCAAACUGACCUUCUGUGGAUGAGAUAUUCCCCUAACUUUCAUUGAUAUCCCCACUGGUUUUUAAACUCACCCAUUACAUUCCAAGUGCACUCAAGAGCUACCAAGUAAAUAGGAUUUGGAGUAGACCCUGGGCCCUCAGCUUCUCCUGUUUCAUGCAGAAGCAGGAAAAUUUCUUCUGUGACACCAUCUUCAGUUUUCUUGAUGUGUUCCACAUGACAAAUUCUUUGAAUACAGACUGGAAGAUGAACAGCCACUGUUCUCUGGUCCGGACUUAGACACUUUCAAUAGAAAUAAAACAGACUUGUGAUACUUUUGUAAUAUAUUUUUGAUGGUCGACAAGUCUUUUUCCUUGCAAUUCUGCAAAGCUGUUAAUAAGGACAUUCCCUUGGGAACUGGCAGUGUUCCAGCCUUUGUAGUUGUAGAAAAUCCAUAUACAAAAUAAUAUUUGGUAGUUCUGAGGUCUUUUACAGGUAUUACUCUUAAGUCUUUGUCUCAUGUGAACUUUGAACUAGCUCACUCAGGUUAAUUAAAG
ensembl:lncRNA